GCUUAUUAUGCACCUGGUUAUACUCAGACCAGUUACUCCACAGAAGUUCCAAGUACUUACCGUUCAUCUGGCAACAGCCCAACUCCAGUCUCUCGUUGGAUCUAUCCCCAGCAGGACUGUCAGACUGAAGCACCCCCUCUUAGGGGGCAGGUUCCAGGAUAUCCGCCUUCACAGAACCCUGGAAUGACCCUGCCCCAUUAUCCUUAUGGAGAUGGUAAUCGUAGUGUUCCACAAUCAGGACCGACUGUACGACCACAAGAAGAUGCGUGGGCUUCUCCUGGUGCUUAUGGAAUGGGUGGCCGUUAUCCCUGGCCUUCAUCAGCGCCCUCAGCACCACCCGGCAAUCUCUACAUGACUGAAAGUACUUCACCAUGGCCUAGCAGUGGCUCUCCCCAGUCACCCCCUUCACCCCCAGUCCAGCAGCCCAAGGUAGGAGACCUAAAUGUUGUUCCUUUAAUGUGUGUGUAAUUAGGAGAACAUAACAUGGUUUAUAUAGUUUCUGUACUGGUUUGUGUUAAAUGGGGACUAAUUACAAAAAGUUGGUGACUACUUAUCUAUAGCUUUACCUCAGCUCGGUUUCCUUUUUCUUUUUUUUAAUAGACUUUAUAUUUAGAGAAGAUUUAGAUUCACAUCGUUUUUGUUAAAAGACAGAAAGAUACACAUUUUCUGUUUGUUGUAAUUCUUCUAAACGUUAAAUGCAAAGAUGCAUUUUACUACUU
rnacentral:lncRNA from 1 species